rnacentral:rRNA from 1 species
UACAGAGGGGGCAAGCGUUGUUCGGAAUUACUGGGCGUAAAGGGCGCGUAGGCGGCCUUCUAAGUCAGACGUGAAAUCCCUCGGCUCAACCGGGGAACUGCGUCUGAGACUGGAAGGCUUGAAUUCGGGAGGAGGGAUGUGGAAUUCCAGGUGUAGCGGUGAAAUGCGUAGAUAUCUGGAGGAACACCGGUGGCGAAGGCGGCAUCCUGGACCGAGAUUGACGCUGAGGCGCGAAAGCCAGGGGAGCAAACGGG